AGUGUAUGUGGUGGAUGCCUUGGCGAUCACAGGCGAUGAAGGACGUGACAGCCUGCGAAAAGCUGUGGGGAGCUGGCAAAUAAGCUUUGAUCCACAGAUGUCCGAAUGAGGGAACUCACCUGCUUUGCAGGUAUCCCAUCCUGAAUAUAUAGGGAUGGGAGGCGAACGAAGCGAACUGAAACAUCUAAGUAGCUUCAGGAAAAGAAAUCAACCGAGAUUCCGAAAGUAGCGGCGAGCGAAAUCGGAUCAGCCCAGCACUCGAUAGCAGCCAACUUACGGGAACGGUCUGGAAAGUCCGGCCAUAGAGGGUGAUAGCCCCUUACUGGAAAAGGCAGCUGUGGUACUAAGUGUGCGAUAAGUAGAGCGGGACACGUGACAUCCUGCUCGAAGAUGGGGGGACCAUCCUCCAAGGCUAAAUACUCGUGAUCGACCGAUAGCGUACCAGUACUGUGAAGGAAAGGUUAAAAGAACCCCGGGAGGGGAGUGAAAUAGAUCCUGAAACCGCAUACAUACAAACAGUAGGAGCCUCGUUAAGGGGUGACUGCGUACCUUUUGCAUAAUGGGUCAGCGACUUACGUUUAAUGGCGAGCUUAACCGUAUAGGGGAGGCGCAGCGAAAGCGAGUUCGAACAGAGCGUUCAGUCGUUAGGCGUAGACCCGAAACCAGAUGAUCUAUCCAUGGCCAGGUUGAAGGUGUGGUAACACACACUGGAGGACCGAACCGACUAGUGUUGCAAAAUUAGCGGAUGAGCUGUGGAUAGGGGUGAAAGGCUAAACAAAUCUGGAGAUAGCUGGUUCUCCCCGAAAACUAUUGAGGUAGUGCCUCGUGUAUGACUCCAGGGGGUAGAGCACUGUUAUGGCUAGGGGGACAUGGCGUCUUACCAAACCAUGGCAAACUCCGAAUACUUGGAAGUUUGAGCACGGGAGACAGAGCACCGGGUGCUAACGUCCGGACUCAAGAGGGAAACAACCCAGACCGCCGGCUAAGGUCCCUAAUAUUGACUAAGUGGAAAACGAAGUGGAAAGGCUAAGACAGUCAGGAAGUUGGCUUAGAAGCAGCCAUCCUUCAAAGAAAGCGUAAUAGCUCACUGAUCGAGUCUUUCUGCGCGGAAGAUGUAACGGGGCUAAGUCAAUAACCGAAGCCGCGGAUUCACACUUGUGUGUGAGUGGUAGGGGAGCGUUCUGUAAGCCUGCGAAGGUGACUCGUAAGGGUUGCUGGAGGUAUCAGAAGUGCGAAUGCUGACAUGAGUAACGUUAAAGCGGGUGAAAAGCCCGCUCGCCGUAAGCCCAAGGUUUCCUGCUCUACGUUCAUCGGAGCAGGGUGAGUCGGCCCCUAAGGUGAGGCUGAGAAGCGUAACUGAUGGGAACAAGGUUAAUAUUCCUUGACCACCGCUGAAUGCGAAGGGGGGACGGAGUAUUGAAGAUCAUCCGGGUGUUGGAUAUCCCGGUUUGCGAGCGUAGGAGGCUGACAGGCAAAUCCGUCAGCGAAUCUCCGAGGCGAAGCAUCGAGCUCUCUUUUGAGCGAAGUGAUUGGAUGUGCUUCCAGGAAAAGCCUCUAAGCUCCAGUUCAGCGGGACCGUACCGCAAACCGACACUGGUGGGCGAGCUGAAUAUGCUCAGGCGCUUGAGAGAACUCAGGAGAAGGAACUCGGCAAAUUGACACCGUAACUUCGGGAUAAGGUGUGCCUUUGUAGCGUGGAGGGAGAAACACCCCGAGCGCGAAGAGGUCUCAGAUAAUCGGUGGCUGCGACUGUUUAUUAAAAACACAGCACUCUGCAAAGACGAAAGUCGACGUAUAGGGUGUGAUGCCUGCCCGGUGCUGGAAGAUUAAUUGAUGGGGUGCAAGCUCCUGAUCGAAGUCCCAGUAAACGGCGGCCGUAACUAUAACGGUCCUAAGGUAGCGAAAUUCCUUGUCGGGCAAGUUCCGACCUGCACGAAUGGCAUAACGAUGGCCACACUGUCUCCUCCUGAGACUCAGUGAAGUUGAAGUGUUUGUGAUGAUGCAAUCUCCCCGCGGCUAGACGGAAAGACCCCAUGAACCUUUACUGUAGCUUUGCAUUGGACUUUGAACCGAUCUGUGUAGGAUAGGCGGGAGCCUGUGAAACCACAACGCCAGUUGUGGCGGAGGCGUCCUUGAAAUACCGCCCUGAUUUGUUUGAGGUUCUAACCUGGGACAGUCAUCCUGUCCGGGGACCGUGCAUGG
rnacentral:rRNA from 1 species